rnacentral:tRNA from 1 species
GGAAGGGUGGCCGAGUUGGUUAUGGCGCCAGGUUAAGGUCCUGGUGGGGCAACCCGCGCGAGUUCGAGUCUCGUACCUUUCA